rnacentral:rRNA from 1 species
GACGAACGCUGGCGGCGUGCCUAACACAUGCAAGUCGAACGGGACCAGAUGUCAGACAGCGGACAUCAGAAGACAGAUUACAGAUGGCAGAAUACAGAUUCAGAAGAGGGCGUGGAGGAAACCAAGCCUAGAUUCUAAUAUCCUAAGUCUGAGCAUUAGUAUCUGAACUCUGGUAUCUGGCGUCUGAUGUCUGGUCUAGUGGCGGACGGGUGAGUAACGCGUGAGCAACCUGCCUUACAGAGGGGGAUAACAUUCGGAAACAAAUGCUAAUACCGCAUAACAUAUAUUUACGGCAUCGUAGAUAUAUCAAAGGAGCAAUCCACUGUAAGAUGGGCUCGCGUCCGAUUAGAUAGUUGGUGAGGUAAUGGCUCACCAAGUCUGCGAUCGGUAGCCGGACUGAGAGGUUGAACGGCCACAUUGGGACUGAGACACGGCCCAGACUCCUACGGGAGGCAGCAGUGGGGG